rnacentral:piRNA from 1 species
UCCCAAAGCCGUCUAGGUGCUCGUGC